ACCUACGGGGGGCAGCAGUGAGGAAUAUUGGUCAAUGGCCGGAAGGCUGAACCAGCCAAGCCGCGUGAAGGACGAAGGUGCCAAGCAUUGUAAACUUCUUUUGUCAAGGGACAAAAUCAGGCUCGAGAGCCUGACCGAGGGUACUUGAAGAAAAAGCAUCGGCUAACUCCGUGCCAGCAGCCGCGGUAAUACGGAGGAUGCGAGCGUUAUCCGGAUUUAUUGGGUUUAAAGGGUGCGUAGGCGGAAGGUUAAGUCAGCGGUCAAAUGUCGGUGCUCAACACCGGCCUGCCGUUGAAACUGGUCUU
rnacentral:rRNA from 1 species